rnacentral:rRNA from 1 species
UACAGAGGGUGCGAGCGUUAAUCGGAAUUACUGGGCGUAAAGCGCGCGUAGGCGGCUUUGCAAGUCGGGUGUGAAAUCCCCAGGCUUAACCUGGGAACUGCAUUCGAGACUGCAUUGCUAGAGUAUGGGAGAGGGAAGUGGAAUUUCCGGUGUAGCGGUGAAAUGCGUAGAUAUCAAGAGGAACACCUGAGGUGAAGACGGGUUGCUGGGCCAACACUGACGCUGAGGCGCGAAAGCCAGGGGAGCAAACGGG